AGCUCCAAUAGCGUAUAUUAAAGUUGUUGCAGUUAAAAAGCUCGUAGUUGGAUCUCGGGAGCAGGCCGGCGGUCCGCCUCGCGGCGGGUUCUUCCUUUUCUCCCCCUCCUUCCGGGUUUUCCCCCGGGGUCUUCUUUUCGGGGCUCCGGGGGGCCGGAACGUUUACUUUGAAAAAAUUAGAGUGUUCAAAGCAGGCAGUUCGCCUGAAUAAUGGUGCAUGGAAUAAUGGAAUAGGACCUCGGUUCUAUUUUGUUGGUUUUCGGAACUUGAGGUAAUGAUUAAGAGGGACAGACGGGGGCAUUCGUAUUACACUGUUAGAGGUGAAAUUCUUGGAUCGGUGUAAGACGAACUACUGCGAAAGCAUUUGCCAAGAAUGUUUUCA
rnacentral:rRNA from 1 species